AUCGACAGAUGAGCACAAAGCGAACUAUUGUUUCGCCUUUUACUAAAAAAUAUUGUGUGCUUGUCGCAAAUAGCAGCAUAUGCCAAUUUUUGGAGUGUUCGCCUAUAAUGGGUGGCU